AUUCCACAUCCUUUGUUUUCAUUUCAAUAAUGUUCACAGCAUCCUGACCAGAAGUAAAUUCCAUCUUAAGAAACUACUUUCAUCUAUAAGAAGCAACUCCUCCAUUUAAGUUUAACCAUGAGAUUGCAGCAAUUCAGUCACACCUUCAGGUUCUGCUACUAAUUUUAGUUCUCUUGCUAUUGCAGUUACUUCGUCCACUGACGUCUUGAACCCCUCAAAGACAACUACUAAGGUUGAAAUCAACUUCUUCCAAACUCCUGUUAAUGUUGAUAUUUUGAUCUCCUCCCAAGAAUCACAAAUGUUCUUAAUGGCAUCUAGAAUGGUGAAUCCUUUCCAGGAGGUUUCCAAUGUACUCUGCCCAGAUCCAUCACAUGAGUUACAAUCCGUAACAGCUAUGGCCGUAUGAAAUAUAUUUCUUAAAUAAUAAGACUUGAAAAUCAGAAUUGCUCCUUGAUCCACAGGCUGCAGAAUAAUAAUAUCUUGAAUGGAAUCUUUUUUUUUUUUUUUUCUGAGCAGUAGGCAUCAACCGUGGGCUUAAAUUAUUUAGUAAACCAUGCC